rnacentral:rRNA from 1 species
GACGAACGCUGGCGGCGUGCUUAACACAUGCAAGUCGAACGGAAAGGCCCUGCUUUUGUGGGGUGCUCGAGUGGCGAACGGGUGAGUAACACGUGAGUAACCUGCCCUUGACUUUGGGAUAACUUCAGGAAACUGGGCUAAUAACGGAUUGGAGCUCCUGCUGCAUGGUGGGGGGUGGAAAGGUUCGGCGGUUGGGGAUGGACUCGCGGCUUAUCAGCUUGUUGGUGGGGUAGUGGCUUACCAAGGCUUUGACGGGUAGCCGGCCUGAGAGGGUGACCGGCCACAUUGGGACUGAGAUACGGCCCAGACUCCUACGGGAGGCAGCAGUGGGGAAUAUUGCACAAUGGGCGGAAGCCUGAUGCAGCAACGCCGCGUGCGGGAUGACGGCCUUCGGGUUGUAAACCGCUUUCGCCUGUGACGAAGCGUGAGUGACGGUAAUGGGUAAAGAAGCACCGGCUAACUACGUG